AUGCUGGACGGUUUUGCCUUCU
rnacentral:miRNA from 1 species